rnacentral:rRNA from 1 species
GACGAACGCUGGCGGCGUGCUUCAUACAUGCAAGUCGAACGAGAAGUUACCUUCGGGUAAUGGAAAGUGGCGGACGGGUGAGUAAAAUGUAGAGAAUCUGCCCUAGAGAGGGGGACAACAGAGGGAAACUGGGAUUAAUACCUGAUGGUCUCGCAAGAGUAAAGUAGCAAUACGCUCAGGGAGGGGCUCGCGGCCUAUUAGUUAGUUGGCGGGGUAACGGCCCACCAAGGCGAUGACGGGUAGCCGGUCUGAGAGGAUGUCCGGCCACACUGGAACUGAGACACGGUCCAGACACCUACGGGUGGCAGCAGUCGAGAAUCAUUCACAAUGGGGGCAACCCUGAUGGUGCGACGCCGCGUGGGGGAGGAAGGUCUUCGGAUUGUAAACCCCUGUCAUGCAGGAGCAAGACGCAAGUUUGAUAGUACUGCAAGAGGAAGAGACGGCAAAACUCUGUG